CGGGAUGUAGCGCAGUCCGGUAGCGUGCACGGUUCGGGUCCGUGAGGUCCUCGGUUCAAAUCCGGGCAUCCCGA
rnacentral:tRNA from 1 species